GCUGGCGGCAGGCCUAACACAUGCAAGUCGAGCGGUAGAGAGAAGCUUGCCUCUCUUGAGAGCGGCGGACGGGUGAGUAAUGCCUAGGAAUCUGCCUGGUAGUGGGGGAUAACGUUCGGAAACGGACGCUAAUACCGCAUACGUCCUACGGGAGAAAGCAGGGGACCUUCGGGCCUUGCGCUAUCAGAUGAGCCUAGGUCGGAUUAGCUAGUUGGUGAGGUAAUGGCUCACCAAGGCGACGAUCCGUAACUGGUCUGAGAGGAUGAUCAGUCACACUGGAACUGAGACACGGUCCAGACUCCUACGGGAGGCAGCAGUGGGGAAUAUUGGACAAUGGGCGAAAGCCUGAUCCAGCCAUGCCGCGUGUGUGAAGAAGGUCUUCGGAUUGUAAAGCACUUUAAGUUGGGAGGAAGGGUUGUAGAUUAAUACUCUGCAAUUUUGACGUUACCGACAGAAUAAGCACCGGCUAACUCUGUGCCAGCAGCCGCGGUAAUACAGAGGGUGCAAGCGUUAAUCGGAAUUACUGGGCGUAAAGCGCGCGUAGGUGGUUUGUUAAGUUGGAUGUGAAAUCCCCGGGCUCAACCUGGGAACUGCAUUCAAAACUGACUGACUAGAGUAUGGUAGAGGGUGGUGGAAUUUCCUGUGUAGCGGUGAAAUGCGUAGAUAUAGGAAGGAACACCAGUGGCGAAGGCGACCACCUGGACUAAUACUGACACUGAGGUGCGAAAGC
rnacentral:rRNA from 1 species